rnacentral:lncRNA from 1 species
GACUCUGAGCUGUUCGAAUUCUCCUUCAACAUUAACUAUGGCGGUCUAUCAGAACCAUAAGGGAAAUGGGCAAUAGUGGAAAUGCUGAUCCCUUAAGUUAGUAUUAAGGGACCUUAACAUGGCUCUGAUACCAAUUGAAACACCCGCCCCUUCCCAUUUCCAACCGGGGUUCCUGGGCACGGGGUUUAGGACACACAUGUCUACUUUUCCGACAUCUCCGUGUGUCCCGUUUCUGGUCCCAUGAGUUUCAGGUGCAUUUCCUUCCUUACCGUCGACAUUUCCACUUAUAGUUCUGCAAAAAAGGGGAGAGGGAAAAGAGGGUGAGUAUUAAUACUCAGUGAAGCGAUUCUAGACCAGUCUCCCCCAUGAGCCUCUAUACGGCUCAAUGCGAAACGAGAACCGUCUAGUCACUACACUCAGUCGAUGCAACCUAUCAGCUAGUUAUUAAGUUUCAUUUCACAAAUCAAGCACUGUGAUGAACUCAGUCAUCACUCAAUUCAUAGAAUUCGGUUUAUUAUUUAAGACUCCCAUCAUCCUAGGACUUUAGGACCUACACAGCUCAAGCGGACCAUUCCUCCCCUUUUCUUGCUGCUUCCUGUGAAGUCGCCUGCCCUGGUAGGCCCGCCGCCCAGUUCCUCGGGUUCGGACCGCCUUUGCAGUGUAUUACGACCCCUUCCCGCCAAGACUCGGCGUGACUCAAUCUUACCGGCGC